rnacentral:rRNA from 1 species
CGUAGGCAGCGAGCGUUGUUCGGAGUUACUGGGCGUAAAGGGUGUGUAGGCGGUUGUUUAAGUUUGGUGUGAAAUCUCCCGGCUCAACUGGGAGGGUGCGCCGAAUACUGAAUGACUUGGAGUGCGGGAGAGGAAAGUGGAAUUCCUGGUGUAGCGGUGAAAUGCGUAGAUAUCAGGAGGAACACCGGUGGUGUAGACGGCUUUCUGGACCGUAACUGACGCUGAGACACGAAAGCGUGGGUAGCAAACAGGAUUAGAUACCCUGGUAGUCCACGCCCUAAACGAUGCAUAUUGGUGUGGGCAGUUCAUUCUGUCCGUGCCGGAGCUAACGCGUUAAAUAUGCCGCCUGGGGAGUACAGUCGCAAGGCUG